AUUGGCACGUUGUUCGGUAUAUAAAACUUAUCUAAUUAAAUCAUCGGAUAUUGUUAAUACCUACAUAUGGCUUGGUCAAAAUCGAACAUAAUGUAGGUACCUAUCGAUCCGUAAAUUUAUAAAUACUUCAAAUAUAGCGACAAUCUUAUUCACGGUUAUUUUUCGUGAAUUAUUAUUUUUUUUUUUUCUACGACCUACCCGAAUUCCGCUCACAAAACGUGAGUGACACAUGCAGUCGUUUAUGUUACAGAGAUUAGGUCGACACGUUUAGACCAGAUACUCCGGCCCAUACUGUAAACAUAUGCCUCUACCGGAUGUAUAACCAUAUUUUUAUUCCUCUCUCCCCCCCACCCCUUCGUUUAUCUGUCGGCUUCUAGUCGAACGAUUAAACUUGCCUAAUAUUGUGUAUGCUGUAGUAUUAUGUAAAACGUCGGUAGGUACUUACAAUAAUAAUAACUAUUACAAAUCGAGAUAUAAAAACACGAAAAUUAUUCUUAUAUUGCUUUCGAGUUAGGUAUAGAUGAGGUACUUAUUUGAGAUAUACAUAGGUCGGCGCAUAGCCAAUAGACGUGUAGUUUAACUACUACAUACUUAAUCAGGAUUUACACAAGAAUAUAAAAUACGAAAAAUACAGAUAACACUGUACGGACAAAAUGUUUACUUAUACCUAUACUAUACUAUUUUUGAGCGGGAAUUAUUUUUUUAUGGGCAGGGGAGGGGCAAAAAUAUAAAUGGUUUAGCUAUAGUUACGUUAUCAAUAU